CAAAGGAGCAAUCCGCUGAAAGACGGGCUCGCGUCCGAUUAGGUAGUUGGUGAGGUAACGGCCCACCAAGCCGACGAUCGGUAGCCGGACUGAGAGGUUGGACGGCCACAUUGGGACUGAGACACGGCCCAGACUCCUACGGGAGGCAGCAGUAAGGGAUAUUGGUCAAUGGGGGAAACCCUGAACCAGCAACGCCGCGUGAGGGAAGACGGUUUUCGGAUUGUAAACCUCUGUCCUCUGUGAAGAUGAUGACGGUAGCAGAGGAGGAAGCUCCGGCUAACUACGUGCCAGCAGCCGCGGUAAUACGUAGGGAGCGAGCGUUGUCCGGAUUUACUGGGUGUAAAGGGUGCGUAGGCGGCUGUGCAAGUCAGUAGUGAAAUCCAUGGGCUUAACCCAUGAACUGCUAUUGAAACUGCACAGCUUGAGUGAAGUAGAGGUAGGCGGAAUUCCCGGUGUAGCGGUGAAAUGCGUAGAGAUCGGGAGGAACACCAGUGGCGAAGGCGGCCUACUGGGCUUUAACUGACGCUGAGGCACGAAAGCGUGGGUAGCAAACAGGAUUAGAUACCCUGGUAGUCCACGCUGUAAACGAUGAUUACUAGGUGUGGGGGGACUGAACCCUUCC
rnacentral:rRNA from 1 species